AAUAAGUGCAACCAUAAUAAGUUUCUAUGUCCAAUUUUAAUCAUCCGUCUUAUUUGAUUUUUUUAUAAUUAGUAGUUUUAUUGUUAUUAGAUUAUAAAAUAUGAAUAGUACUUUAUACGUGACUUAUGUUUUUUAUUUUUUUAAAAAAAUCAAAUAAAACGGAUGAUUAAAGUUGGACAUGAAAACUUAUGGCUACACUUAUU
rfam:Oryza glumipatula chromosome 7, whole genome shotgun sequence.